rnacentral:rRNA from 1 species
UACGAAGGGGGCGAGCGUUGUUCGGAAUUACUGGGCGUAAAGGGCGCGCAGGCGGCCCUUGAAGUCAGGCGUGAAAGCCCCGGGCUCAACCUGGGAGGUGCGCUUGAUACUCGAGGGCUUGAGUGCGGGAGAGGAGAGUGGAAUUCCAGGUGUAGCGGUGAAAUGCGUAGAUAUCUGGAGGAACACCGGUGGCGAAGGCGGCAUCCUGGACCAAUACUGACGCUGAGGAGCGAAAGCCAGGGGAGCAAACGGG